GUAGGUGAACCUGCGGAAGGAUCAUUAACACGUAUAUCGUUUUAACCAUCCCUCAACCCCUCUGUGAACUAAAAAAAACCUCCUAACCUAAAUCCUGCGUGUGUGCUGGCGUAAAACCCCGGUCGCAUUCAGGUCGCUCCAGCUUAACUCUUGGCUUUCGGGCUGUUUUAAGCGUGCGUUCGCUCUUUCUUCGGAAAUUGUGGAUGGCAGGGCGUUACAACCAAAACCCUUGACUAUUAUUACUGAAACCCCCCUAACUUAGACAGUUUCCGCUUGCGGCCGCUGUCUGGUUAACAAAAAUACAAAAACAACUCUUAACAACGGAUAUCUUGGUUCUC
rnacentral:misc_RNA from 1 species